UACGGGGGGGGCAAGCGUUGUUCGGAAUUACUGGGCGUAAAGGGCUCGUAGGCGGCCAACUAAGUCAUACGUGAAAUCCCUCGGCUUAACCGGGGAACUGCGUCUGAUACUGGAUGGCUUGAGAUUGGGAGAGGGAUGCGGAAUUCCAGGUGUAGCGGUGAAAUGCGUAGAUAUCGGGAGGAACACCAAUGGCGAAGGCAGCUCGCUGGGACGGUACUGACGCUGAGGCGCGAAAGCGUGGGGAGCAAACAGG
rnacentral:rRNA from 1 species